rnacentral:lncRNA from 1 species
ACAACAAUAAUGCUGCUUUGAUUCAUUGAGAUCUGCUUUGUAAACACUAUAAAAUAACUUUGAUAAUUGCAGGGUGAAAAGGGAGAACCAGGAGCUAUCAUUACUGCUGAUGGAUCUUUACCUGAAUUAUUAGGAAGAAAAGGGGAGAAGGGUGAAGCUGGAGUGGUGGGACCAGUGGGACCAGUGGGACCAAUAGGACCUACUGGACCUAAAGGAGAACUUGGUUUCCCAGGACGUCCAGGCCGUCCAGGACUGAAUGGACUGAGAGGUGUGAAAGGUGAUCAAGGUGAAGCCUUUAAUGGCCCUCCUGGCCUGCCUGGACCCCCAGGGCCCCCUGGACCUCCAGGACGUAUAGUUUAUAUCAAAGGAACAGUUUUCCCAGUCC